CUACGGGGCGCUGCAGUGGGGAAUAUUGCACAAUGGGCGCAAGCCUGAUGCAGCCAUGCCGCGUGUAUGAAGAAGGCCUUCGGGUUGUAAAGUACUUUCAGCGGGGAGGAAGGGAGUAAAGUUAAUACCUUUGCUCAUUGACGUUACCCGCAGAAGAAGCACCGGCUAACUCCGUGCCAGCAGCCGCAGUAAUACGGAGGGUGCAAGCGUUAAUCGGAAUUACUGGGCGUAAAGCGCACGCAGGCGGUUUGUUAAGUCAGAUGUGAAAUCCCCGGGCUCAACCUGGGAACUGCAUCUGAUACUGGCAAGCUUGAGUCUCGUAGAGGGGGGUAGAAUUCCAGGUGUAGCGGUGAAAUGCGUAGAGAUCUGGAGGAAUACCGGUGGCGAAGGCGGCCCCCUGGACGAAGACUGACGCUCAGGUGCGAAAGCGUGGGGAGCAAACAGGAUUAGAUACCCCGGUAGUC
rnacentral:rRNA from 1 species